rnacentral:rRNA from 1 species
AACGAACGCUGGCGGCAUGCCUAACACAUGCAAGUCGAACGAGACCUUCGGGUCUAGUGGCGCACGGGUGCGUAACGCGUGGGAACCUGCCUUUAGGUUCGGAAUAACUCAGAGAAAUUUGAGCUAAUACCGGAUAAUGUCUUCGGACCAAAGAUUUAUCGCCUUUAGAUGGGCCCGCGUUGGAUUAGCUAGUUGGUGGGGUAAAGGCCUACCAAGGCGACGAUCCAUAGCUGGUCUGAGAGGAUGAUCAGCCACACUGGGACUGAGACACGGCCCAGACUCCUACGGGAGGCAGCAGUGGGGAAUAUUGGACAAUGGGCGAAAGCCUGAUCCAGCAAUGCCGCGUGAGUGAUGUAGGCCUUAGGGUGUAAAGCUCUUUACCCGAGAUGAUAAUGACAGUAUCGGGAGAAUAAGCUCCGGCUAACUCCGUGCCAGCAG